rnacentral:lncRNA from 1 species
AAUUUUGCAUAAAAAAUCUAUUAGUUUUGAGCUUUUGCAAAAGUAGGCCGUCUUUUUGAAUUUUGCAGAUUCGGGCCGAAUUUUCAGAAGGAUGACCAAACUACCCCUCUUUCAAAAUGCAUAAAAAUUAUAUGCUUUAAAUGCCUAGAAAAAUACAACUGCUAAGCCAUUAAGUGUAAAAUUUCUUGAAAAUGACAACUGCUAAGCCAUAGUUACGUAUACGAUUCUCGUGAAAUGAGAAUCCUCACUCAAGACAAUAUCUGUAUAAGUAGUGCAACAUAUGCAUUGUUGAUACACAUUUUGCAUGAUUUUUAUACUAAAUUACGUAUAGUUUAGUAUAUUACUGUCACGCCCCGCGACCAACCGCUAAUUUGGACCGAGUCGCGGCGCCGCCGACAGACCGCCGAACGGACCGGGAAUUCCGCUGUACGCGGACAGAGCCUCCCCAGUACGUCCAAGGCGUCGCAGUCCAAACAAUCAACGAAUGUUCCAACUAGGAACGGAUAUCAAUCCAGAUUGCAUAAGGAAGUAUCAAAUAACAUAAACUACUUGCUAUUACAAGCAUUCAUUUUACAACCACUUUUUACAUCACAGUUUCAGUUUACAUUUUACUUCCAAAUUACAAUCUCAUUAAUACAUCAUUUAAUUUACAAUUCUUAUACAUUUAGAAUUCUUUGCCUUCUAGUCCCCUAAGCUAGACUGCCUCAGGGUACUGCUACCUCGGUCUCUGUGGUAGGGCGCUAUCUACGGAGCUACGCCCUCACCUCGCGCCGCCGUGCCGCACACGAACGACCUGAAAAUCCCAAAACAACGUGGGGUGAGAACCAACUCCAUGGUUCCCACUGGGUACGGCCAUCCAAGGAAAAAGCUCGACCGAUAGGUCCGAGGAGGCACUGCAACAUGUUAGUUCAACAAUAUACAACAGAUAUAUAUAUUCAAUUGAAAUACAUGCCAUGCCUCAAGAUAUGCGAUAUGGAAGUCAUGCAACACUAUGCAACAUCUAGUAGAUCAUUUGAUUCUACGCUUUACUUAGCUACUCUUAGCUCAUAUCUUUACUCUAAGGUUUUUAUUACCUUAGGAUCUCAACUCGGUCCACUGGCUUCUAAGGUCUCUACUACCUUAGCUCAAGCCUCUAAUCUCUAGCUCAUAAGGGUUCCUCUACCCUAACGAAGCUAACCACACGACUCGGCGUCGAGUCAAUCAUCCGCGGAUAGCCCGCGCACUGGCUGCUCAUCAGCCUACCGCCCUCUCUGUCUCAGCCCCCUAGCGGCGAAGUCGUCGCACACGCUAAGCUCGGCUCAAGUCGCACGACUUGACCAUCUGGCGACGAUCACGUUGCUCUUACCCAGCGUGAGCUCGAGUCACGACACACCGUCUGGCGGUGAACGGAUCGCACCACACCCAACAACGGUACAUGUCAGACUCAGCCACCUGGAGGCACCCGUACCGUACUUAUCCAGCAUGGAUUCAGUCUGCUCUGGCGGUCUGAUCCUCAAAUGGCUUAACCAUCCUGGCGGUGAAAUCGUCGCACAAACGCCACGGCAAUGGCUCAAGGCCCGGGCGGUGAUCUCCAUGUGAUCGCCCCAAUCCUCCCUCGGUACCAAGCUCGGCGGCGAAGUCGUCACACAAACGCCCUAGCUUCUACCAGGGUCAUCACAAGUCAUGGGAUUCCGGAAUCCACUUUCCACAGGUCAAGGGUCCAUAGCCAACCCUAUACUUUCGACCUAGCUCAUCCUAGUGGCUAUACCACUAUACUCAUCAACCUAGGUUCCAACACUCUAGGUUCUAUGUCCAUGUCACUUAACCUAGAUAUACUUGCUAGGUUCUUGUCAUCUUUGCCUAGAUGUUCACUUCUAGGUUUACUAGUUCGACCUAGGUUUACUAUUACUAGGUUCGAUGCCACAAACCUAGAUUGUUCAACUCUAGGUUCACUUAUUUAACCUAUGUUCUUUAACACUAGGUUAGAUGCCACUCGAUCUACCUGACAACCUAGUUGUCCAAUCAUCUCGGCUCACGCUAGAGUUAUCAUCUAGCUCAUAUGCAUGUUUUACUUGAACUAGCAUUAUUUAUGUGUCAUGCUCACUAUGCUUUCUACUUAGCAUGGUCAUCUAUGCAUUAUUGUUACCAUGCAUUCUCUAUUUAGCCUUUACUCUAUGCAUAUUUAUUAAUGCACCAUUUAAUCUUGUCUACAUGCAUAUGCAUCAACAUGAGAUUAUAUUGCUAAGACAUAAAGGGCGACCUAGUCGCUUCGGUAAGCACAACCCACCUUAGAUAGCUUUUCGAUUGCUUGUCGACACUUGCAAUCGGCCUCCCGCGGCACUCGGCACCCGUUUGGGCCCGACCUCACAGUUGCUCCCCACGAGCGCGCCGCUUCGCCGUUUCAAGUGCUAGCGAUCUUUGCCUUGCCGCUACGGUGCUCGGGACCCGAUCUCACGAUUUAUGGACGUUGCCUCGGCCUCCCAGGCGGAAAUGGAGCUCCGAGUGCCCGUUUCUUCAAUGUCUUUGCAACGGCUUGUCGAAUUGCCGAACCGACUUCACCAACGUGUUUCGUUACCUACCAAUUAGGUUUCCGAGGGGUCAAAUGAGAUCAAACUCAUCUAUUUACAAAAACCCUCUUUGGAUGCCCUAGAAUGCCAUUUCUAGCAAAUCCACCAAAUCGAUCUAUGAUUUGGGUAUAGUCCAUCAAAAUAGCAUGCUAGGGCUCCAAACAAACUAACUUUAGAGAUCAAAACCCUAUCCCUAAAGAUCUACCAUGAGAGGGCUCCAAGCUUACCUCUCCAAGAGCUCCAUGGAAGAAGAAGAUGAAGAUGAAGAUGAGGAAGAGGAUCUCCUCCUUGGUCCUCUUCUUCUUUUCCUUUCCUUUCUCUUUUUCUUCUUCUCUUCUCUUUUCUCUUUUCCUUUCCUUCUUUUCCUCCCUUGCACGAUCGGAGAGAGGGAGAGGCAGUGAGGGAGUGAGAGAGGGAGAGAAAUACAUCUCUCUAAUAACCCCUCUCAUAUUGUAACAAAAUGUUAUUAGGUCCCUCCACUUUUCAUCUCUUACACAGCCCUUACUGGGCGUUCUGCGCGCUGAGGGACCGGUCCCCGAGAGCUCUCCCCGGUAUCACGCGUUCGGGAACCAGUCUCUCCCCGAGAGACCGGUCCUCGGGAGACCGGUUCCUCUCGAAGAGACCAGUCCCCGAGAGCUCAUCUCGCGGGACUUAGCCAAUUUUGGCUCUUCUCACUAAUGUCGCAGGCUGGGACCGGUCCCUCCCCUGCCAGGGACCGGUUGCAUCAGCAACCCCGCAGCCUUCAGCUGAUGGGACCGGUCUCUCACCUCCAGAGACCGGUCCCCGAGAGCAACCUCAGCCCAAAAAUGCAGAUUGCAUUAUUUGCUCUCGCGGACUCCGUUCCAAUGCACUUCUUGGGUUUCGUGCAUCCUAGGCUUUUCCAAAGCCUAUCCAUUCGACCCUUAGUCGAUCCUGGACAAAAUGAAACUCUCGGAUUUCGAGAACUCACAUUGUUACAUUCUCCCCUCCUUAAAAAGAGUUUCAUCCGCGAAACUCACUCAUUUCUAACCCCUUUUUUUUUUCCUCGACACACUUCUCGAGUACACAUUUUAUAGUAUGUUAUAAUAUAUUAUACUAUUUUCGCGUAAUAUAUUAAACUGUACGUAAUUUAGUGUAAAAAUUAUGCAAAAUGUGUUUUAACAAUGUAUAUGUUGCACUACUCAUAUAGAUAUUAUACUAUUUGGAAGAGCAUGUUGCACUAUUUGAGAGAAUGUUGCACUCUUUUAUCUUAUUAAUUAUAUUUUAUUAUUUUUAUUUUGUUUUGAAUGAUGAUUUUCGUUUCAUGUAAUUAUGACUUAGCAGUUGUCAUUUUCAAAAAAUUUUAUACUUAAUGGCUUAGCAGUUGUAUAUUUCUAGACAUUUAAAGCAUAUAAUUUUUAUACAUUUUGAAAGAGGGAUAGUUUGGUCAUCAUUCUGAAAAUUCGGACCGAAUCUGCAAAAUUCAAAAAGACGGCUUAUUUUUGCAAAAGUUCAAAACUAAUAGAUUUUUUUAUGCAAAUUGGCCUUCUUUUAUUCAUCAAACAAAGAAAAAGGCAGAAGUGUAAUUUGUCGUAAUUGCUGGAAUUGAAGCCACGGAUUUUAAUUGAUUACUAUCAUCCUCGUGAACCAUGGAUGAAUAUCUUAUGUAGGUGGCAUUUUAGCUGCAGGUUUGGCAUUUUGCUAUGUUUAGUACUUCAUUCGCAUCUUCCAUUAAUUGUAGCAGAUGUUGACACUGCAUCUGCUUCCACAUUGCUAGUUUGCGUGUAUCCGUAUCGUUGUUUCUGUUUUCUGUCGUUGUUUGAUGCAUGUCAUGUAGAGAGAAAAUAUCUAGCUAGUUCGUUAGCAGCUUAAAAGUGUCUUCAGAAUUUCCUUUAUGUAUGUUAUCUAGACUCUGCCAUGUUGGGAACAUCUUAAACUCAUACAAUCAGGGAGCAAUCUUUGGACUGUUGUUGUCUGAACGUGACAAAAGAAAAGGAUGGAAAAUUUACUAUUAAUGCCCUUGUUCAGCCUCUGAAGCAUCACAAAUUUAAAGAGCCAAAGAAGUUUAGCAACUUAUGGAGUAUACUGAAGUUCUUCUUCGUAGGACUUCGCCACACACUACACUCCACAGAGUUUAUUUUUACACACCCAGCUAGCUUUGGCAUCUGAUUACAUGUGAUAGACACCAUGGCCUUGCUACGUGCUCAGAAGAUAGCGAUGUUUUAGGUGGAGGGUUUAACGACUCAAAGGCGACUCAAGUCGCUAAACCCUUCCUCUCGAGCAAACAUUACUCUCUAGUUUUAUUCUAUUCGACCUGAUUCUCGUGAACUAACUAAAGGGCCCUCUAAGUGGACUCAAUCUAGGGUUACAGUUUUCCUUAAUUUAUAGUUGACAACUUAUAUUUUGACGGAACUGUUGUUCUCUGGAUGACUCUCAUGUCCUGGUGCGAGCAAGCCGGACAUGAUUUUCGUCUUCAUUGCGGUGCUCAAACGAAUAGCUGCUUGCUCUGGAAUUAGCUGCAAAUUUGUAGAAUGAUGAGUACUAACCUGCAAAAUGGCAGACCCAAAAUAAGAGUCGUGCUACCCAUACACCCCAUUUAGAGUUGUAGAUCCUACAACUCCUUGAUCCAACGGCUGAUAUAAACUUGGUUUAAAAAAAAAAAAAANNNNNNNNNNNNNNNNNNNNNNNNNNNNNNNNNNNNNNNNNNNNNNNNNNNNNNNNNNNNNNNNNNNNNNNNNNNNNNNNNNNNNNNNNNNNNNNNNNNNNNNNNNNNNNNNNNNNNNNNNNNNNNNNNNNNNNNNNNNNNNNNNNNNNNNNNNNNNNNNNNNNNNNNNNNNNNNNNNNNNNNNNNNNNNNNNNNNNNNNNNNNNNNNNNNNNNNNNNNNNNNNNNNNNNNNNNNNNNNNNNNNNNNNNNNNNNNNNACUAUCAUGUAUAUGAUGUUUUACUUUCACUUGAUCAACUAUAUGUCAGUGUUGAUUAACAUGCCUAAUCAAAUGUAUGCCAAUGUCCAUUUACAUGCAUAAUCAAUGUCCAUAAUGCUCCAUAGAGUAAACUAUGCUUUUUAAUGUUAUUCUAGCAAUGCAUACAUACUAGUCCAUAAGAAUAUAGGUUCACUACCACUAAGGUUACCAAUGUCACAAUGUUCCACAAAAUGUCCAACUACUAAGUAUGCAUCAAUUAGUAGUAUGCAUCAAUUAGUAGUGUAAGGUAACAAACCACAUGUAUGAACACCUUCUAUGUAUGCAUCAACUACGAUGAUGUACAUUGUCAAGUUAAGUCUUAAUACCCAAAUUACAGGGAACGUACACGUGGUAAUGUCUCGGCUCGUGCCGUGCCUUAGUGGUCCCGUGGGGGUCAUCAUUUUUCCCGCAAGAAAAGAGACUCUGCUUACGGCAUCCCACUUUGGCGCCCAAUCCCGCACGGGCGAUCUAUAGUCGCAAGGCUAAACUCCGGAGUGCCUGUUUGUAGGAAGCGACUCUCACAAGCAUGUGCGGAUGAGCACAAGGGUAAGAAAGCGUAAUCAUAGCAUAGGGUCCACAAUUUGGAAUGCUCAAACAUCAUGUCUAAAAUAUGGAAUUGUCACUCAUCGACUCAACGGUCGGAUUCUAGAUCAUUCAUGUCAUGUUUACAACUACUUGGCUGGUAUGUCUCUACCGACCUAUAUAUUGCCUAAAGCAUGCAUAGUUCAUAUGACAAUAUCCUACCUAGGAUAGUUCACUAUUGUAUUCAAAUCUCCAACAAGGUCAUGACAUGCAGAUACAACAAAUUUUCACAAGAAACAUGUAUAAUACCACAUGCAAGAGAACUAUAAAAUGUCCGCAAUUAUCACAAUGCAUGUUAUGCACAUGUCUUUCCACUAACAUCCCUACUACAUGGAGUAGAAAUAUUAUGAUGCAAUUAUUUAGAUUUCGCUAGUAUUACNAAUUAUCACAAUGCAUGUUAUGCACAUGUCUUUCCACUAACAUCCCUACUACAUGGAGUAGAAAUAUUAUGAUGCAAUUAUUUAGAUUUCGCUAGUAUUACGUGCAAUCAUCUCUAUUAGGGCUCGCCUCAAGGGCUAUACAUUCUCAUUUUCCUCAUGGCUAAAACACGGAAUAUAACUAUCGAACCCUAGGUUAAUUGUAAUGUCACAAUGGCAAAUACUAGUCGUUUUUCUAAUUUAAUGCAUCAAGUUACCAUUUCACAUGUUUAGUUCUAGUUGUCCAACUAGGCUAAAUAUCAAGUUUAGCUUCAUGAUGACCUUAUCAUGUCCUAUGUCCCAAUGUCACUACUACCUUGUCUACUACAAGUAUAAUGUUAUCAUGCAAGUAAUGUUAAUUUUCAAUCACCUUAUCUAUAACAAGUGUACUAUCGUCAUCAUGUAAGUAAUGCUACUUUCCAAUUCAUUCACUAGGUACCCCCUAAUGGGUCAUAACAUUAUUCAUACUCUAACAUGCUUUCAAUGGUUGCAUGAGAGAGGAAACCUCAACUAUUGUCAUUUAGUGCCCAAAUCCACAUGUAUGCCUCUACCACCUAGAGCAUAAUUUUUCACUAUACAUAACAUGUAUAUAUUAUAUUCUCAUAAAUUCUAGCAUAUCACAAUGACCAUGAAAAAGCAUCUAUUUAAGUCCUAACACCAAAAGAAAGACGUAGGGGGAGUUCACCUAUUUCGGUGAGGUCAAACCCACCGGAAGCACUUCGAACGAAGUUAUCCCCCAAGCUUCUAGCACCCUAAGAGAAAUUCUAAAGGGUUAAAAGCCACAAAACGACCGCUUCAAAAAUUACACAUACAAAAGUGUAAAAAUAUCUUGGGUCAAGAAGAACUUGAUCAAAGCCCAAAUCGAAGCUAGAAAGCUUCAAAUCCAACCUAUAAGAGUGUUCUACACCCAUCAAUUCCAACUGAAAAGCCUCAAAUUAAGAAACCCCAAAUAAAACCCUAGAUUUUUAUUUCUAGGUUUUCAUCUCAAAAACUCUACCAAAACUAGAUCUAAAGAGUAGAUCUAAGAUACUAACCUCUCAAUAAGCUCCAAUGCAAGCUUGGAAUGAGCUAAGGUUGAAAAUUGGUCCUUUAGAAAGCUCCUCUCCUCAAACCAAGGCUUCUCCAAAGGUGGAAAUCCAACAUGAAGCAAAGAGGAGGGAGAAAGAGAGAUCAAAUCAAGCAAAAACCAAGAAAAAAUGGAAGAAAAACCAAGGGAGAGGAGUUCCACGUGGCUCUCCACGGUUUAGGGCUCAAAAGAGCCAUCCAAGAGGCUGUGGGGGGUUAAAUAGAGAUGUAACAAUCUCAAAAAGACCCUCCAAUAAUGGGCAGUCUGCAACUGCACUGCGUACCGGUACCACGAAAAUGAGUACCGGUACCGGCCAGCAGAACGCACAAACCCGAGCCUUGGGUUGGCGAACAAAUGCACUGGGUACCGGUACCAACUCGAUGCAGUACCGGUACUCUGCACUGUAGAAGCAAACCCGAGAGCUGCCCAACUUUCUCAUUUUUGGACUUUGGCGCUAAGUUUUAAACCUCGAUUCUCGGGAUGCGAGUCAUAGGUCGAAACACUGUCUACGACCCUCCAGAACACCUAGAAAAACUCAGAACACAGAUCAAACACUCGAACCUCGCAAUUUACUAAAGUUCAGUGUGUUACAAUACUAUUAAGUAAAUAUUGAAAAACUAGGGGGGCCAAAGCUAUCUAUGUUCCACCAAAAAAAAACUUUGAAGGACCAUUAAGCAAAUAUUAAAAAUUUGAGGGGGGCUAUGGCCACCUUGGGCCUCCAUAUCGCUCCGUCCCUGGCCAAGUGUAUUCUAUCCCUUUCUGGAAUGUACAGAUUCUCAAAGAGCUUCUCCAAUGCUCUUACCCAAGUCUCCUCUACCCAAGUCUCUACUCUACGACCAUUGAACUCGAGUGGAUCAAAUUUUCUAAACUCAGCCAAUCUCGCAUGUGCCCUCUCCAGUUCUCUUUGACAUCUUCUUCAAUCUUUUUCUUAACUCUCUCUAAAGAGUUUAUAUAAUUCAAUCUAUUGACUUUCGCUAUAAAUUACGUCUCUUUCAUUCUAUAUCCUAGGGGUUUGUUCAGCCUAGAGUUUUCCAUACCAAAUAUCCUAAGCUCUAAUACCAACUUAAUCUAUCAUGCUCCGGAUACAACGGAAGCCUAAUACAUUACUAUAAAUAACAAAUUUCUCAUCUAUAACAGGAAGGACAAGGAUAGGGGCUGAUAUCAAUCUAUUUUUCAAUUCUUUAAAACUUCUUUGGCAAUUUUCACUCCAAAUAUAUGUACUUAAUUUUCUUUUCAAGACAAUUGAGUGAGGGGUGUGGAAAGUAUAAUACCUGAGAUUUUUGACUUUAAAAUUUGAAUUUGAGUUUUGAAUUUGAAUUUGUUUAUAUAUAUAUAUAUAUAUAUAUAUAUAUAUAUACAACUUAAUAUGUGUGUGUGUGUGUGUAUGUGGAGGUGGAGAGAGACGACUUUUGUCGCGAAUCGACAAUUGAUCCUAGCAAAACAAAAUCGCAGAUUUGAUGGUCUGUCUGUGCCGAAAGUGCUGGCGUGAUCUGUUAAAAAAUUUGACAAGUCGAUCGUCCGAAAUUACACGUUGUUUGAGGAAGGGUCGAUAUUGCAUAUUGGAUUUUAUUUGUGAAAGAUCCAAUAUUUUAUGUAUCGAAUCGCAAGAAAUCGCUUGUGGAAGUGCGUUUGCGCGAAUUACACAUGCCUUGAAGCCCUAAUUUGGGUUGGACCGAGAUCCUCCCAGCGCCGCCGCCGCCGCUCGCCGCCACUUGCCAAAGUGAGCACCACACCCCUCUUAUCCCCCGCACUUACCCCUGGGCCGCGCACGAGCCGCCGUGCCGCCGGCAGCCGGCCGGAGCUAGAUGCUCUAUUAGCUCGAAAUAGGGUGGUUUUACCACUGAUCACUAUUCCAACCAUCCGGGAACCCCCCGUGUAAUAUGUCGAUUUUUCGACUACGCGGCUAAUCUCUAUCAAAUUGGUCCGAAUAAUGCUAAAAUGAAAUUGGUUCAUUCCCGAGCUUAAUUGGUAGCUUGGGCAUAGUGUUUAGCAUGUUUUGGAAGUAAUUAGAAGAGUUCUAAGUGGAAUAGAAGUGUGAAACAGGCUGCCAAAGUAGCUGCUGCCAGAAUUCUGCUGGAGCAGAAUUUGUACUGGGUACCUCAGCCAGUACCGGUACCAGCUGAGGUACUCAGCUAGACUGCAAUGCAAUUUUGGGUUUUUGAGGGGGUAAGUUGCAAAUUUUUGCUCUUAUCUCUUCAGCCCUGAUCUCCUACAGAUGCCCACGUAUCCAGCCCUCUCUCUCUUCUUUCUUUUCAUUUCUUUCUUCUUUCUUUUUCUCUCUAGGCUGGUUGAGGCUUUGUGAAUUGAUGCGGGCAGAGUUGGAAAUUUUUGGGCUUGUGAAGCUGUCGAACAGUAAGGUUCAGCUGAGGAAGCGUGGAAACCUCAGGUAAGGAGCUGUUUAUUAGCUAGGACUUGGACUAGAUACUGUAUGAGAGGUUUUAAGUGAUUAAAGAUGGUAGUAGUAUGUAGAAAACCUUGAGUACAUGCUGAAAACAGCAUGCAUACAUGUAUAGAUAUGUAUGUGUACAGCUCAUUAGGGAUUGUAGGGUAAAAUCUGAAAUGAGUUAACUUUGAAUCCUGGUUUGAAUGACUUCCUUUGCUAUAUCAAGAUGUGGAAUAAAGGAUUUUUAAGUGUUUGCAACUUGUAUUAGUAUAUAGAAGCAAUAUGAUUACCGCGAAUGAUGGAUCGUUUCGACUCUGUGUGGAUUAUCACGAGCUGAACAGAGUCACGAUUAAGAAUAAGUACCCACUUCCCCGAAUCGAUGACUUGUUUGAUCAGUUGCAGGGGUCGUGUGUGUACUCGAAGAUAGAUUUGCAGUCCGGCUACCACCAAUUGAAGAUUAAGCCGGAGGAUGUGCAAAAGACCGCGUUUCGCACGCGGUAUGGACACUACGAAUUCACGGUCAUGCCAUUUGGACUCACAAAUGCUCCAGCGGCAUUUAUGGAUUUGAUGAACCGUGUCUUCAGGAAAUACUUGGAUCGAUUUGUAGUGGUCUUUAUAGACGACAUAUUGAUCUAUUCUCGCAAUGACGAGGAUCAUGCCGAGCAUUUGAGAUUGGUGCUUCACGUCCUUCGGGAGGAGAAGCUAUAUGCUAAGCUAAAGAAAUGUGACUUCUGGCUCAGAGAGGUCGCAUUUCUAGGGCAUGUAAUUUUCAAGGGCGGAGUUUCUGUAGACCCGAGAAAAGUUGAGGCAAUCAAGGAUUGGCCUCACCCGACGAAUGUCAUGGAGGUCCGAAGCUUCGUGGGCUUAGCGGGCUAUUAUAGACGGUUCGUGGAGGGUUUCUUGAAGAUCGUGAUUCCACUUACCCGUCUGACUCAAAAGGGCACCAAGUUAGUGUGGAGCGAAGAGUGUGACCGGAGUUUUAAAGAGUUGAAGGAAAGAUUAACUUCGACUCCGGUGCUCGCUCUACCGGUGCAGGGCGAAGAUUUCGUAGUCUACAGCGAUGCCUCCUAUAUGGGUUUGGGGUGUGUAUUGAUGCAAAACGGGAAGGUAAUUGCCUAUGCAUCUCGUCAGCUGAAGAGCUAUGAAAAGAAUUACCCCAUUCACGAUUUGGAGCUAGCAGCGAUAAUCUUCGCCUUGAAGCUAUGGAGGCACUACUUGUACGGUGCCCAUUGUGAGAUUUAUACCGACUACAAGAGUCUAAAGUAUCUGUUCACACAGAAAGAGCUCAAUAUGCGACAGCGGCGGUGGUUAGAACUGUUAAAGGAUUAUGACGUUGAUAUCCUUUACCACCCGGAAAAAGCGAAUGUGGUCGCGGAUGCACUGAGCAGGAAGUCGGCGAAAAAUCUUGCCAUGUGCGUGACAAAUCAGACGCCUUUGUGGCUAGAUAUGGAGCGAAUGAACCUUGAGGUGGUUGCUCUCGAGAUUCCGGCUCAGUUGAUGGCCCUCGUCGUCCAACCGACCUUGUUGGAGAGGAUCAAAGAUCUGCAAUCUGCGGACUCGAGUCUCCAAAAGAUGCGGCAUAACAUCGAGGAAGGACGAGGCGGCAAUUUCAGUAUAGACGUCGCGGGUGCACUUCGAUUUCGGAACCGAUGGUGUGUACCCGAGAAUAAAGAGCUUCGUGAAUUGAUCUUGCAAGAAGCUCAUCGGUCGCCUUAUUGCGAUCACCCGGGCGGCACCAAGAUGUAUCAUGAGUUGAAAGCACUCUAUUGGUGGCCGAGAAUGAAGAACGAUAUUGGGCGCUUUGUGGCUAAGUGCUUGACUUGUGUCACGCCCCGGGAACCAGCGGAAGCCCGCCCGGCGCGUGCACAGACCCGCCAUAUGUCUAAAACAUACAAGGCGUCUAAAUAACAACGAUAAAUAAGCAAUAAAUAAAGAACAUCUAGAAGUAUCAGAGCAAUGUAUAUCUAGAUUUCUACAAUAAAGGGAUGGAGCAAAAAACAAUAUCCACUAAAUAAAAUCAUAAGCAGUACAAAAGGUGUAACACACUGGACCUUUGCAAAUUACGAGGUUCGAAUGUUUGGAUGUAUUUCGAGCUUUUCCACAUUUGGUGGAGAGUUGUAGAAUGUUUUCCGACCUAAAAAGUUCGAAAAUCGAGAUUCUGGAUAAGUCCUGAGAGUUUUUACUCUCGGGGACCGGUCCCUGGAAGGAGAGACCGGUCCCCCAGUGAGAAGUGUUGAGGCAGCCUGAGGCAACCGGUCCCUGGCAGGCGAGACCGGUCCCCGAGCGCGUCUUCGCAGUGAGAGACCGGUCCCGCGCAGGGAGAGACCGGUUCCCGAACGCUGGUUUUUCGGGUUCGCAGCGAGAGACCGGUCCCUGCUGGGGAGAGACCGGUCCCUCUGGGCGAAAACUGCCCAGACUGGGCUGUGGUAAUAUUGGAUUUUUGGAGGGCCUAGCUGGAUUUUGUUACAAUAGAGGGUCUAUAUGAUCCCUCCACUCUCUCCUCUCCCCAUUUCUCUUCUCUCAACCCUCUCUACACCCUUGAUAGAGAAGAAGAAGAAGAAGGAGAAGAAGAAGAAGGAGGGAAGGAGAAGAAGUUUGGAGCUACUAGUGGACUUGGGGCAUCUUCCUCACCUUCUCGUCUUCCUUGGUACUUGAAGGCUUGGACUUGGAGCUUGCAAAGAGGGAGAUCUUCACCCUUGGAGCUUGGAUUGGAGCUUCUAAGGAGGUUUGUUACUCAUUUCCCUCCUCUAGAUCUUGUUUUGAUAGUUUUUGUAGAUGAAACCCUAGAAAUGAGAUUUAGGGUUGAUUUUGGGGCUUUUUGAUCUAGGGCUUUUGAGGCUAGAUUAAUUGGUUUAGAACCUUCCUUGGGCUUGGAUUGGAAGGGUUCUAGCUCUCUUUUGGAGCUUUCGAAGAGAUUUCUUCUCUUGAGGUGAGUUUUGGCCCUUUUUGCUUCUAGGUUAAUGUUUGAUCUUACGGUUGGUCGUAAUGCCCUCGUAUCUCUUCGCUGAUUACUUUUAGGAAGUUUUGAGACUUGGGGACAACUUUGUUCGGCGAAACGAGGCCCUACGCGACGGUUCGGUGGGUUUGACCUAGCCACACAAUGAGAAAUUCUCAUUUGUGCUUAUUUAAGUAUCGUUAAAUGAAAAAGCAUGCAUAUUCUUGUUAUAUGUAUUUAUUGUGAAUUUUAGAAUGCUUAAAAGGCCUAUGUUGUAUAUGAUGAAAUUUUGGACCUCUAUGGAGUAGAGAGUAGCUUGGUAAGCCUAUGGUUGCAUUUAGCGUUCUAUAUGCAGAGACUUGGUUUCAUGCUUCUAUAGUGUACAUGAGCUUUGAUUCAUGCAUUUAAACUUAAGUUUACUUGUGACAUGAAAGAUGAUGAAAUUGCCAUAUAGAGGUAUUGGAACUAGAAUGUACGUGAUCUAGAGCUAAUGUCAUCAAGCGGCAUUGAGCUCGGGACAUGUGAGAACCUAGUGGAUAGGGCCAUUGAGGGAUUUGGAAUACAUGUUGAACAUCAAAUUGUCUAAGUGUCAUCAAGGGGCACUAGGCGAAGCAAAUAUUGAGAAUUCACAUUAUGCCUUAAACUAGAUCUUCGGGAUGUUAGUGACUAUACCAUGUUAGAGACAUGAGAAUUGGAUACUUGAGACUUGGACUUUGCUUGCUUGCCGUUUGUGCUCAUUCACACAUGCUUGUGAGGGUCGCUCCCUACAAGCCGGCACUCCGGAGUUAGCCUACGCGACUUUUGUUCGCUCGUGCGGUAUCGAGACGCCUACGGGGUCGAGUGGGACAGACACAUUCCAUGGGUAGGAAUGUCGGGCUACCACAGGCACUUAGGCGGCACAAGCCGGACUACCUUGGGUAGAUCCUUAAUUGGAAAUGAAAAUCGACACGGUUUGAGAAUGAAUGAUCACUACUAGAUAGGCUUAUUAGUUGGAUUACAUUUACAUGCUUUUAGCAUAGUGUGAGACAUGUAGUAUACUUGGUUGCCAUGAUAGAACUUCUACAUCAUGCAUUGACAAAGGUUAACAACAUUAAACUAGUGCCAUUGGACUUAAUUGUAAUGAUAGAUAGAUGUACAUUUUGGUUGACAUCAUGCUUACUUGAGACACAGUAGACUAGCAUUUCAAUUAUGCUUUCUUUCAGCAGUUUAUUUACAUGCUCCUUAUCGCUUAUUAUUAUUAUCGUUGCUUACCCUUAUUUUUGGGGCCUAGUGGAGCAUGAGCUGAGGUCAGUAAUUGCCCACUGGGAACUAUAAAUUAUAGUUCUCACGCCCUCUUUUUCUCGAUGUUUUUCAGAGCCUUCCACUCAGGGUGAGGCCAGGGACCGCGGGAAGGGAGUUGCUUCGAGCUAGCUUCCUUCGAGGACGGUUCGCUAGGUGGUCUACCUCUCGUCGUAUUUUGUUUUGGAGAGGUUGAGAGUUUUACCAGUGUACUAGAGACCACCAUUUUUGUAUUAGAGGCUGAUACUGUAUAACUUAUGUUUACUUUUAUGUUUUAGUUACGUUCUUUUACUAUUGGUGUAGAUGUUAGAACUUUACUCGCUCUGAUAUCAUUAGUUGCUAGUUAUUUCACUUUUUUUAUUUGUUCCAUCUCUUGCUUUUACUUCUGCUUUUCUUGUAGACGCCUUAUAUGUGUAGGCAUAUGGCGGGUCUGGGCACGCUACCGGGAGGGCCUCCGCCGGUCCCGGGGCGUGACAAAAGGUAUCCCAAAACAAGUGCUAAACUGAAUACAUGGGUGGUCUCUCUAUACAUGGUACCCAAAACACUCUCUUACCAAAAACCAAAGAGAGAGAAAACCACCUAAGAGCAAAACGCCUCUCCGCUAGCUAGCUAGCUACGCGACCCCUUUGCCGCGAUCCCUUGCCUCCGCCGGUGCCGAAGGCUCUGAAAGAGAACAUAAAAAAACAGGGCAUGAGAACUAUUAAAAAUAGUUCCCAGUGGGCAAUUACUGACUUCAGUGAAGUGUGCCACUAGGCACAAAAGCUACGAAGCAAGGUCAGUACGAGUAUAAACCAAAGCGAUAAAUGCGAUAAGUAAAUAACCAAACAGUAUACUUGCUACAACAUGAAAUCUCUACUUAGCAUGAUUUGCAUAAGUAAUAAACUAUUCUAACAAGAAUGUGCCCAAGCAUACUAGUAUGAUGUCCAAAAGCCAAAUAGUAAAGAUGUCAAUAUUUACUAUUCUAAUCGAUGUCCACACGUCACGACGACUACUCGAAGUCCAAUCUAAAGAGACCCGCCCGAAGGCUGUCUUGGCCCUGAGACCCACCCGUAGGCUGUUUGACCAAUGCCGAGCCUAAUGGCCCCGUGGUAGUCAACAUCCCCACCCUAGGGAUGAGCCUGGCCCACGGCAAUCCACUUCGGCGCCCAGUCCCGCACGGCGAACAAGUAUCGCGAUGGCCAUCUCCGGAGUGCCGGCUUGUAUGGAGCGACCCUCAUAAGCAUGUGCGAAUGAGCACAAAUGGCAAGUAGUACAAGAUCCAUCUCAAGUAUUAAGUCCUCAUGUCCACAAACAUGGAAUAAAUCAUAUAUCUCAUAGGCCUAUCUCUAUGUCAUCAUGUCUAAGAACAUGGAAAUGUAGAUGUCAAUGGCCUAUCACUAUGUCCCAAUAUAGUAGUUUCACCGUUCACUAUAUCAAGUGCCCCUUUAUGACACUUUUGAUUUCAAAGUCCAAACAUGAGUUUAAUGUGUAAGAAUAUAUGUUUCAAGUCCUCUUCAUCACGAGAGACCUAUUCCCAACAUGCUCGAUAAGCUACGAUCUGAUAUACAUGCUCAAUAUACCAGGUUCCCCCCUGUUACAUGAGGUCGUUUUUCAUGAUACAUAGCAUAUGUAUACUAAGCAUUCUAAAAUUCACAUAAAUCAUAUUUAGCAUGGAUAUGAAGUUAUUUCGACGAUACGACAAGUAUACAAAACAUAGGGGCCAUUUUGCCCCGAUUUCAUGAAGCCAAACCCACCGAACUUCACGAAGCUCUUCGUUUCGCCGAACGGAGGUGUCCACUAGUCUCCUAGCACCCUAAAGAUGUAGGAACAAGAGUCAAACGAACGUUACGAACAACCGUAAGGUUGGUCUUUAACUAUCUCAAGCUAGGGUUGGGAAAAACUCACCUCAAUGAAGAAAUCCUCUCUUAAGCUCCAAAUGGGAGUUAGAGUUCUUCAAAUCCAACCUAAAGGAAGGUUCUAAAUCCAUCAAUGAGGUCUCAAAGUCCCCAAAUCAAAAAUCCCCAAAAAUAAACCCUAAAUCCCAAAAUCUAGGGUUUCAUCUAGUUUAAAGCUUCAAAACUAGGAUCUAGAGGAAAGGGACUAGCCACAUACCUCUAAGAUGCUCCAAACCAAGUCCAAGAUGCUCUAGGGUUGGAGUUUGAUCCUCUCUCAAGCUCCAACAACAAGCUCCAAGCCUCCAAAGGUGAGAAAAGAGAGAAAGGGUUGGUGCUCCAAGCUCCCUCAAGCAAGCUCCUCCUCUUCUUCUUCUUCUUCUCCUCCUUCUUCUUCUCUCUCUAGAGAGUGUGAGAGGGUGAGAAGUGAGGAAAAGAGAGGAGAGAAAUGAUCUCUAGACCAUUAGAAGUAACAAAAUCCACUCAAGCCCCUAAAAAAUCCAAUAUUACAUCAGCCCGGACUGGGCAGUUUUCGCCCAGCGAGACCGGUCUCACGCUGCCUGGGACCGGUCCCACGCCGCGAACCCGAAAAACCAACAUUCGGGAACCGGUUGCCCCGGCCCGAGACCGGUUGCUUUGCCAUGGGAGACCGAUCUCUCCCACCUGAGACCGGUCCCCGAGAGUGAAAACUCUCAGGACCUCCAAAACUCAGAUUUUUCGAGCUUUUUAGGUCGGAACACCUUCCACGACCUUCCACCAAGUGUGGAAAAGCUCGGAACCCAAGUCUAACACUCGAACCUUGCAAUUUACACAGGUCUAGUGUGUUACAACUUACCAACAAGUGAAGGCCGAGCGUCGAUUUCUAGCCUAAAGCUACAAAGCCUACCCAUCCCCGUGUGGAAAUGGGAGGAAAUAUCGAUGGACUUUGUGGUCGGCUUGCCUCGCUCAACGGGCGGCCACAAUGCAAUUUGGGUUAUUGUGGACCGAUUGAUGAAAUCGGCUCACUUCUUGCCGAUCCACACCACAUGGGCGGGCGACAAGUUGGCACAGGUAUAUCUUGACGAGAUAGUGAGGUUGCACGGGGUGCCGAAGUCGAUCGUGCCGGAUCAUGACCCCCGAUUCACUUCACAUUUCUGGAAGAGCCUGCAGGAAGUUCUUGGUACAUGGCUCGACUUCAGUACUGCAUUUCAUCCUCAGACAGAUGGGCAAAUAGAGAGAACCAUCCAAACUCUGGAGGAUAUAUUGCGAGUGUGUGUCAUCGACUGCAAAGGGAGUUGGUGUGAUCAUUUGCCGAUGUCCGAGUUCGCCUACAACAACAGUUAUCAUGCUAAUGUAGAGAUGGCACCGUUUGAGGCUCUUUACGGGCGGAAGUGUCGAUCUCCUAUACACUGAGCGAUGUAGGUGAGCGUGCUGAGUUCGGCCCCGAUGUGUUGUGAUAAGCGGAGGAGAAAGUCCGCCUGGCUCGCAAGAGAUUGCUCACGGCGCAGUCGAGACAGAAAAACUAUGUAGAUAGACGCCGUUGAGAUAUAGAGUAUGCGGUGGGCGAUCGCGUAUUCUUUAAGGUUUCACCGAUGCGGGGUGUGAAGCGGUUUGGAGUGCGGGAAAAGUUGAGUCCCCGGUACAUUGGACCUUAUGAAAUAUUAGAGCGAGUUGGCACGGUGGCUUAUCGACUCGCUUUGCCACUGAAGCUCGCAGAUGUACACAAUGUGUUCCAUGUCUCAAAUCUUCGUAAGUAUAUUCACGACCCCGAGCAUGCAAUGCUUUACGAGCCGCCGGAACUUCAAGAAGACUUGAGCUAUGAAGAGUUUCCGGUGCGGAUUAUCGCACGAGAGGUGCGAAAGUUGAGAAAUCGCGAGAUUCCCUAUGUGAAAGUCCAGUGAAGCAAUCACGACGAUCGCGAAGCCACCUGGGAACUCGAGGAUAUGAUGAGAAAGCAUCAUCCUCACUUGUUUCAGGAAUAAGGUAUGAGAACUGAGUUUAAAAUUAAGUUGAAUCAGUUUCGAGGACGAAACUCCUUUUAAGGAGGGGAGGAUGUAAGGAAGUGAAUUCUCAAAAUGCGAGGGUUGCACUUCAUCCAGGAUCGACUACUUGUCGAGUGGGUUGACUUCGAAAAGGCCGGAGUGGCAUGGAACCCAAAAAGUGCAUUGAGAUAGAGUCCACGAGAGCAAUAGUGCAAAAUCUGCACUGGGCAGAUUCUGCUCCGGGGGACUGGUCCCUGGUGGGAGAGACCGGUCCCCGAAGCUGGUGGUUGCCGGGAUGCCUGGAGCAACCGGUCUCUGGAUUGAGGGAACUGGUCCCCGAACACGACACCAGCGAGAAAAGCAGAAAUUUGGCUAAGUCCUGAAAAUCCAGCUCUCGGGGACCGGUCUCUCAGGCAAGGACCGGUCUCCUAGGGACCGGUCUCUCGGGUUGAGACCGGUUCCCGAACGCGUGCACUCGGGGGAAGCUCUCGGGGACUGGUCCCAGAGGGGAGAGACCAGUCCCUCCGCCCGCGAACAGCCCAGUGAGGGCAGUGCACAGGGUGGAAAAGUGAGGGAUUUUAUUGCAUUUGUUACAUUAGAAGGGGUGUAUAGAAGGGGCUGAGCCCUCUCCCCUCUCUCUCACUUGCACCCUCACUCUCUCUUUCACUCAUCUCUCUUUCUCUCUCUAGAAGGAAAAGAAGGAGAAGAAAAAAGAGGAGAAGAAGAGGAAAAAGAAGAAGAAGAUAAGGAAGGAGAAGAAGAAUGAGAUCAAAGAGGAACUUUUGGACAUCUCCCUCUUCCUCCCCUCUUCUCUUUGGUGUAGCUCAAGAGAUAAGCUACCAAACCCUAGCUUGUAAACUUAGGGUUUUUGUAUUUCUAGCUUUAGAAAUGGGUCAAAUGGACCUUAAGUAAGCUUCAAAGUAGAUCAAUCCGAGAAAUCUAGGGUUUGAUUGAGUGGUUUGCUAUAGGUGCAAACCUAGGGCUCCAAAUUGGAGUUUUUGGUAAAGUAUGAGAUUGAUCACAUUUGAGGCUUUGUAAACCAAAUUGUUAGGUAACUAAACGCGGGGGCGAAGUCGGAUUUUCGAUUUUUCAAGCGGGUCAGGUCCUGUCCGUUCGGCGUCCGCUUGCCGCGCCCGAACUGCGCCAAAUUGGUAGCGUUUUCGGGGCGGGGCGUGACAGGAAUCCUGCAGGGACAGCACAUAUGCAUGUGUUUCUACCUAUGAAUGAUUAGUAGUGGGGGAAAUUAUAUAUGCUUGUUCUUGGUUUAGAGGUUGCAUAUUAAUGUUCUAAAAAGGAUUGAGCUACAGAUUUUCAUGUUAGAGCUCUUAGAACCAUGAAAAAGCUUGGAAAACUUGAUGUUGGCAGCAUACAAGUAUAUGUAUGUAUAUAUAUGUACUUGUGAAUUGUAUGUUAAGAAGGAAUAAAACCUAGGUUCAAUUGACUUUAAAUUCUGAAUUAGCAUGAUUCUAAUUACUAUAUUAAGGGUUGAUGUUUACUACCUAAAGGGGGGUUAAUUAUGAGUUGUUCUGUUUUCUAAAACCAUAAACUGCCAUAGGGAACUUAAUAGAAGACUAUAUGUACGUAUAGUGACACUAUAUAUAUAUAUAUGGAACUUGGGGUUAAAUGCAAAGUUUGAAAAGAUGUGAAUAUGACUUAAGUUUAAUCCCUUUUAUUCCUCAUUGAAGAAAGGUUUGACGUGCUCGGAAGCCUAAGUUGGUAUUUCGACGGACCUACGGCGCGCUAGUUAAGAGACGCUUCGUUCUAGUUCGUAUACAUCAAGUCACGAGGACUUGAUACUUGUGAGCUCCGAGAUAUUGGCUUUAGUAUUUCGGCAUCCCUACAGGUGGGUGGUGCUAUCCGAAAUCUUUGAAUCCCUUAUUAUGUCUAUGUCGCCUCAUUGAUCAUAUUUAUAUAUGAAUUGCUUUGUAUUCAUACAUUAUAGGAAAAUUGUCACUAUACAGUUAGUAACUGAAUAAUUGAAUUCCUGUCAAUGUUAAGAACAUAUGGAUAAUAGAAUAUGGACAUAGAACCCUAUGAAUGUGUGAAUUUACUGUGGACUAUGAUAAUAGUAAAUUUGGUGACAUCACGACUAGAGAAUUCGUUAGCAUCGAGAGUGGAAUUGUAAAACUAGCAUAAAGAGCUAGUUAGAGUUAAAGUGUGGCAUUGUCAUUCAUUGGACCCUCUAAAUGAGGAUCAGAUCAUACUCACAUUAGUCUAAUGCUCGAGGAAGGUCGCUCCUCCUUGGGCGAUGAGCUUCGGAGUGGUCAUCAAAUGGAUUAGGAGCUAGCAUCUCCCAAGUAGACGGUCCUGUUCGGAUGUAGCUUGCGUCUCCCCGAUAGUAGGGAUUUGGUUGGUGAGUUAUUGUUAACCAAAUGGUUAACCAGCUUGAUUGGGUAAUGAUUAUUAAUAGCAUGCAUACAUCAAUUUCCUAUGUUAUCUACUGUUUCUUUCAGCUUUGUACAUGCAUUGUAGUAGUUACAUGUUAUAGCUGGUUACUAUCUAUUCUUUCUUCUUGUCUAUAUAUGCCCGAAUAGACCUAGUGGGUGAGUCGGCGAGGUUGGCGGCCGAACCCACUGAAAACUAUUAGUAGUUCUCACACCACUAAUCAUGUAGAUCCUAGCGCGAGCGGAGCGGUCGAGGAUCGCGGCAAGAGCCCGGCAUCUUAGCUAGUGAACUCCAGAGUAUAGUUAUACACCCAUUUUGGUUUCAUGUUGUAUAUAUUUGAUGUUAAAGAAACAUGUAAAAGAAUGUAUAAAUGAGCAUGUAAAUAACUAAAUGUUGUAGUUAUUCAUGUUUAUAGUUUGGUUUAAAGUUUUCAAACAUACAGUGAAUGCAUGUUUAGCUAGCUUACUUGCACUCGUUCUUGUUGCUUGCCCUCGUGCAAGCCAUGUAUAUUGAAAUGUUAUCUUGGGAGUUGUUUAUUUUUUUAUACAUGUACUAUGUUGUUGUUGAGCCUUGGGCGGACAAGGGAGGUGCUGUCUGUUCGGCGUCUGUGUACGGGCCCGGAUCGACCAAAUUGGUGAUAGCGGGACGUGACACCCUGGCUCUCUGGAAGGUGAGCAAGGUGACCUUGAGUUGUCGCUGAUCACUAUAGUUAUCUCGGUUUCUGUCGGAGAAUCAUCAGUUUGCUAUUUUUGCAUUGUCGCUCUCAAGGCCUUAUAUAUUUGCUGUAAUCUUGGCCCCGGAGAGCUCCUCGGCUAUUUUUCUUGCCCUAGACAAUGAGCACAGGCUUCGCUACAUUGAGACCUAUCCACUGGUGCCCUUAGUUGGUCUCGGAGACGCGUGGUGUUCUCUAUCGGCCCUAGUGAUUGUGUAUUUUAGCUUAUAUUGUGAUAUAUCUCUUGCUUAGGGGCCUCCUUGGAAUUUUAACAGCAGAGGCUGUUUUGGGCAGCGUGAUGCCACUUGAUGUGACCCUCUGGACUAGUUGUCCGAGCUUCCGAUGCCCUCGCUGAAUCAAAUUUAAUUUUUGAAGCAUUUUCCGACAAAAUCAUCAGCGAAACGCGGUGACCAUUGUGGGCCCCACUUGUUAGUAGUGUUAUCACCCCAGGUUUGUCGUGGAGCCUCAUUGGCUGGUUACAUUCGCUAUCUUGAGUUUCUGAAGACAACGAGUGAGCGACGGAGGGUUUCAAUGCCAAAAACAACAUUUUCGAAAAUUCGGAAUGGCAUUAAGUACAUUGUGGUGUAUUUGUAUUUCUUGGGCUUGUGUUUGUUGUUUGAACAUGAAAGUUGGUGCGUUUCGAUACAGCGGGUGACUAGAUUUGUACUAUGGUUCCUUUCGAAACACUCUGUGGCAAUCGAAAGUGUUUCGGUGGACUUUUUGGAACUCUCGACAGUUCUGAGGUUGUGGGUUUAGUGUUUUGAAGUCGACUUAGGGGAUCUUGACUUGGUGGAUCUUUCGGUCUAGUUGAUGUCCCAACAUGCCUUGAGCAUUAGACGCUGCGACGAUGAUAGGUUGGUGCUUCGAUCCGGAGUUGAUACAGUGGUUUUAGCUUGGUGAUGUUCUUCCCUCACUCUUUGUUGUUGUUUUGCAUACUAUUGAUUAGCAUUUACUACUAGACUUCUGAUUUAUUUACUCUACUUCUACUCAUUCACAUAUUUGUAGUAAAGAGGUGUUUGGUUGUUGCAUGAUCUUUAUCUGAGAGACCUGUUUGGUUGGUGUUGAUUGGUUCGUUGAUCUAGUGAUCUAGUUUGGACAGGUGUUGUUUAUUGACAUACUCUUGGCUAUUUGCCGUCUUGAUUGACUAUUGAGUAUUUCGCGUUGAUCGUCGCAGCUUAGGUAGCAUAUCACGUACACCAAUGGUUUGGUCACCGUGUGGGUGUUCUUUUUCAAAAAAGUGGUCAUUACUUUGACCCGUUGGCCCUUGCAAGGUGCUAGCUGGUGUAAUAUACCGAACUUUUAUAGUCAUGAAGUUUCGAUGGAUGUUAGAAGCUAAUGGAAUUGUUCCAGUGAAGAUCGGGAACGUACGAGUGUUUUCGAUAUGCGUUGGGCGUGGAAACGGAACUCGAAAAGCUAUGAUUGGACUUUGCCCGGAAUCCAGCAAAGCGUGGAUGAAAUAAUGGUCUAAAUGCGCUGAAAAUGUGUUUUGGGCGUCUCGGUGUGAUAUGUGAUAAAUCGGAGGACCCGGGAGCGAAAACGAGCGAAAACGGACCAAAGGCUAAAAUUGCUGAAGUUGCUGAUUUUCGGGUUGUCUGGACCUACGGGGUCCGGACCCUGGCUUCAAGGUCCGAACCUCGAGAGUGAGAAAUGCCCAGUGAAGGCUGAUGGCAGUUUGGUAAUUAAGGGGAGGUUGACUUAUAAAAGGAAGCUUCUCCUUCCUUCUUCUUCUUCUUCCCAGCCAAACACCAACACACACACAUAGUGGUAGAGAGAGAGACUCUAUCUCUAGAUUUUUUCCUUCUCUCUCUAGAUCUCUUUCCCAAAAUUGGAGGCUUGGUGGAGAAGGAGCUUGGGAACGCAUUGGGAGCAACGGUUCGAGUCUUUGUGCACCCGGUGGAGCGGCGUGCUUUCGACUCGGCGUUCGCAUUUUGGUAAGAGUUUAGGAUUUGGUUAAAUCUUUCAUGAAUGAUAUUCUAGUAGUUUCUAGAAUAUUCUAAGUAUGUUACUCCAUAUGUUUUUGGGGUAUAUGAGGGAUAUAUGAAAGCUAGGGCUUGAAAUGGGGUUUUGGGAUUUUUAGGGUUUUGAUCUAAUUGAACCCUAUUAUCCUCUAAUUGAAGGUUAGAGAUGAGCCCUUGAAGACCCUAGGUUGCGGAUUGGCCAGCGUUCGAUGAUCAAUUUCAAGUUCAAGCCGAACCGAACAACGAGUGCCGCGGGAGCCCGAUUGCAAGUGUCGACAAGCAAUCGGAGAGCCUUACGAGGUGGGUUGUGCUCCACCGAAGCGAUUAGGUCGCUUCCAUGCCAAAGUGAAGUGUGUUUCGUUAUCGAUGCAUGUAGUGGUAGUUAAUUGCCAAGUAAAAGAAUGCAUAAGAUAAAGUGACUGCAUGAGCUAAAUGCUAAAUGAAUGUAUAAGAUAUAUGCUAAUAAUGAAUGCUGAUAGAGAUGCUAAUUGUGAAUGAACAUGCAUGAUAAAGAAACUAAUUGUGAUAUAUUGACUACCAUUUCGAUAAGAACAUAGAUAUGUGCAAGAGAUGCUAGAGAAUACAUGCAUGUUGAUAUCUUGUGAACAUAUGCUAGAUUCAUAUGAAGGUUGAACUUGAGUCGACGAACUCUAAGUAUAGUAGAGAACUCGACAAGUGUGGUGUCACAACCCGCGACCACCCGCCUAUUUGGCCGAGUCGCGACGCCGCCGACAAACCGCCGAACGGACAGGGUUUCCCCUGUACACGGACAAAGUCUCCCCUGUACAUUCAAGGCGUCGCAACCUGUACAAUACAAAGAGUUCCAACCAGGAACAGUAUUCAAGCAAGGAUUACAUAAGGAAGUAUCGAAAACAUAAACACCUAGAUCACAUUCAUUCAUUUUUACAUCACAUUUUUCUUUUUUAUAUUUAACUUCCAAAUUACAAUCUAGAUAUUACAAUUUACACAACUUGCUUCUUUUCAUUCUUCUCAUCCCUAAGCAAAGCCGACUCAGGGUAUUGCUAUCUCUGGUCUCGGUGGUAGGGCGCUAACUACGGAGCUACGCCCUCGCCUUGCGCCACCGCGCCGCUCACGUGCGACCUGUAACACCCCAAAACAACGUGGGGUGAGAACCAACUCCAUGGUUCCCAGUGGGUACAGCGACCCAAGGGAAAAGCUCGAUCAAUAUGUCCAAGGGAGGCGCUGCAACAUGUUAGUCCAAUAGAUAUCCACAAAUAAUAUUUAUGCAAAUAUUAAAUACAUGUUCAUGCCUCACAAAUGCAAUAUGUAAAUCAUGCAAGUAGAUUUAUUGAUUCUACUCUCUAUUAUUUACCAUUCUUUAUAUUAUUAGCAAUCCUUUAUUACUUAGUCAUUCUUUACUUUUAGUCAUUCUUUAUUCUUAACCACACGAUGGUCCUUUGCCAAUGCUCUUCUAAGGUCACUCUUACCUUAGCCAACUAUGCCAAUUAUCAUGAUCAAGACCCAAUCCUCUCGGCUAACCCGUAGGUUUCGCCUCAAAUCUCUGCUAUCGGGGAGAUACCCGCUACAACCCGACGGGACCGUUCUUUGGGAAGAUACUCGCUACAACCUAGUGAACCAACACUUACCAACCCAAAUCCCUACUAUCGGGGAGAAUUCCGCUACAACCCGACGGGACCGUACUCUGAGGAGAUACCAGCUACAAUCCAGUGAACCAAAACUACCAACCCAAAUCCCUACUAUCGGGGAGAUACCCGCUACAACCCGACGGGACCGUCCUCUGGGGAGAUACCCGCUACAACCCAGUGAUGACAACUUCGGAGCUCAUCGCCCGAGAGGGAGCUACCACCCUCGAGCAAGGACUAACAGGUGAGUAUGAUCUAUGAUCAAAUCCAUAAUCUUGAGGAUGUCAAGUUCAAUCCAUUCCUUAACUAUAAGGAUGCCAUGUCACAUACGUCAUUUUCUUGCAUUCUUUACUUUCAUGAUGCCACACACACAAAGUGUUUUUUUAACUCUUAUUAUGCCUUCAUUGUCUUUUUAAUGCCAUACACACACUAAGGCUGCGUUUGGUUCAGGUAUAUGUAAGAACUGCUUGUUCCAGGGAUAGGUACAAGUUCAGGUAUAAGCAGGAACUAGACCAAUUUUACGUUUGGAUGAAAAUUGAGUUGUUCCUAGGAAUAAGAUAAAUAGCGUUUGGAUGGUUAAAUUGGAACAAAAGGAAUAAAAGUUAUAAUUUGAAAUUAACAUUAUAUUAUCUAAUNUCCUUUGCCAAUGCUCUUCUACGGUCACGCUUACCUUAGCCAACUAUGCCAAUUAUCAUGAUCAAGACCCAAUCCUCUCGGCUAACCCGUAGGUUUCGCCUCAAAUCCCUGCUAUCGGGGAGAUACCCGCUACAACCCGACGGGACCGUACUCUGGGGAGAUAUCCGCUACAACCCAGUGAACCAAAACUCACCAACCCAAAUCCCUACUAUCGAGGAGAUACCCGGUACAACCCAACGGGACCGUCCUCUGGGGAGAUACCCGCUACAACCCAAUGAUGACAACUCCGGAGCUCAUCGCCCGAGGGGGAGCUACCACCCUCGAGCAAGGACUAACAGGUGAGUAUGAUCCAUGAUCAAAUCCAUAAUCUUGAGGAUGUCAAGUUUAAUCCAUUCCUUAACUAUAAGGAUGCCAUGUCACAUACGUCAUUUUCUUGCAUUCUUCACUUUCAUGAUGCCACACACACUAAGUGUUUUUUAAACUCUUAUUAUGCCUUCAUUGUCUUUUUAAUGCCAUACACACACUAAGUGUUCGUACUUUCCAAUGUCAAGUUCUUUACUCUAUUUGAAUUAUCGUCCCAAAUGCACAUUCAUAUGAAUCUACCAUAUUCUCACAUUAUGUCAACAUACAAGUGUUCUUCAACAUUUCCUACACAUGUUUGCAUUCUUAUCAAAAUAGUAAUCAUUAUACAUUUGGCACAUAACUCAUACAUUCUUUAUUAGUAUAUAUCUAUGCAUUCAUUUCUAAAACAUACAUUGUCAUUCAAGAUAGUCAGUACUUAGCAUCUCAUGCUUUCUUUAACCUCUACCAUAUGCAUUCUUAAUUAACAUAAAUCUCAUUAUUUAUUUCAUUUCAUUGGUAGGUAAUCUCAACUACAUAAUAUGUUUCAAGCAUUCAUAUUAUCAUGUAAGCUUACCAAUAAAACUAUAUGCAUCAAUGAUAAACAUUUAUCUUAGACAUACAGGCGACCUAGUCGCUUCGGUAAACACAACCCACCUGUUAUCGCAUUCCGAUUGCUUGUCGACACUUGCAAUCGGCCUCCCGCGGCACCCGUAACCCGGUUCGGCCCGGACUCUCGCGCGACAACCCGAACGGCCUCCAAUCCACGAUCCGGAAAUUAAAGGUCUUCGGUUAUGCGCCACGGUGUUUCAAAUCCGUUUUCAUGAUUUUACGACGUCGCCUCGGCCCUCCCGGCGGAAACGAAGCCUAACGUCCGUUUCUUUAAUAACUUCGCAACGGCUCGACGGAUUGCCGAAUUGACUUCCCCAACGCGUUCGUUUACCUAGCAAUUAGGUUUACGGAUGGUCAAAUGAGAUCAAACCCUACAAUUUUACAAAACUCCAUUUUGGAGCCCUAGGUUACAACUAUGCAAGAAAUCAUCAUUUUGGAACCUGAUUCAAGCAUUAAUCUUCUAAUUAGCAUCUAAGAAUGCUACUAAAUCCAUCUUUAGAGCUUAAAUGCAAAACCCUAGAGUUCUACCAUUAUAAACCUAGCCUCUACACAUGCUUCAAUUAACCCAAAUUAAAUGGAUUUAACAUGCUAAUCAACCCAUUAGAGGCUAUUAGAACACUAGGAAUUAAGGAUUAAGCCAAAUCCCAAGAGCUUACCCAAAUGUGAACACUGCGACGAAAACAAGCCGCUCCAACGGGCGCACGAAAGCUCGAUCCGUCGCCUCCAACGCGUUCGCAAGCUCGUUCUCUGCCAAUGCCGCGAAUUUGGGAGAGGGAUCUAGAGAGAUGAGAGAGAUAUUUAGAGAGAAGUGGAGCUUUCUCUCUCCCUCACCAUGGUCGCAUGGUGCUUGGAUGGUGGCCGGCUGUGUGGAGAAGAAAAGAAGCCAAUGCUUCUUAUAAUUACACCCCAAAUACUAUUCACAUUCAGGCUGUUUAGCAGUUAGGUCCCGACGGAGCCCUUCUGAUUGUCCGUUUGAGCUCAAAUUUGACAGGCAUGUUCGGUUUUACUUAACUUAACAAAGUAGUGAUCACUCUUCCAGUUUCGACCCCGUUUGGUUACCGAAAGCUGUACCGAAUUGUAAUCUUUAACAGAUAGCUGUGGGAUUUUAUUUUCUACCUUCCGGGUGUCAGAAUGGCAUGAAACUUUAAACCUAGCCUCAUAAAAAUAAUUCUGACAUCUCCGCCAAUUUUUAUAAUUUUCUGAGACUGCGCAUUUUCUGCUAAUUUAUCUGUCCCGUUUCCAACAGAAAAUUCUAAAUCUUCUGUUUUAAUUCCGAUUUCGGCACAAGUCACUUAUGACUUAUGUGUUACUUCUCUAAAUCCAAUAAAAAUAAUUUUUCACACUAUUUUUAUUUAUUUUUUUAUUUUAAUACCAAAAUCUGGUAUGUUACAUUCUCCACCUCUUAAAAAGAACUUCGUCCGCGAAAUUCAAACCACGCCUCAAUUUAACUCCUUGAGCAAUUGAGGAUACCAACUCAUUCUCACACUCCAGAGCGGCUUUAUACCAUCGUGGUUCCCGAAGCGUCUCAUACUGAAGGACGUCGGUUCAAUCCUCGACACAUUUGCAAAGUGUGAUACAAAAAUGCAUCACGGGUCUUGCAAGUCACAGUGGCAGCGCAAGUUGGUGCUCGACGACUCUACGCGCUCCCACGCCACUCGCCAUUCGUUAUGCAAAGAACUCUUCUUUGCAUUCAUCUUUUCUUUAGGAAUUACAUGCCGACUCGAUUACCGACAUUGCUUAGAAGCAAUAUCACCGGUGCAUCGCUUCACUGUGAGAGCUCCAAUCUCAACCGAAUCUUGCUCUACUACGAGAUGGCACACUCCGGCACAUCUCAAUCCUCAAGAGAGCUUUACGUCAUUUCUCGCGUGGCUAUCCAAUACUCAAGUGUCUCAAUGAGACCACUUACUUUCUGUUUUCAUUGCCAUGACCAACCAAUUCGUUCUUACAACGAAUUAAUACGAGCCCUCUGUUCGCUAAUACAAGCCAAACUCAUCCACAGAGUUAUCGGCCAUAACGCUUACUUUGGUUUUCAUAAGUGGACCGAAGGCCACCGAUUCUACGUAGGCCUACCGCCUAUCCCGUCUCCAUACCCGUACCGUCUCUCGCUCUCAAGCGCAGACCCAAUCAUAAUCGGGCGAAAUUCUCAUUUAGGAAUUCGCACACACUCCAAUCAGGAGCAACCAGGAGCCCAAACCACUAUAAAUCCUCGGGUUGGGUCACAACCGAACUCUCGGUAUAUCCUCGAUCUCAAAAUCCAACACGUGGCACUCCACGCUCCCGGGUCUAAGCUCGGACUACCGCCCUGACCAAAACUCCGCCCUACCAGUAGGUACCGGGCCGCUGUCUCUCACAGCUGACUGCGCCUACCCGAAGGGCCCAGGCUCCACAGUCCACCAGUGGUCCAGGCACGGGUCGUCCCCAAGCAUUACCCGUCGUCGUCGUCCUACACGACAUACUCUAUCGAGUCACGCGUACCACUCUCGGCUCCUAAGCACCUAGUGCGAGCCACCAACCCUACAAGUGAUCCAUGGCCCGCUUCACACUUGGCAAUGCUAAAGUGCUAUUGCCAACACACUCACUCGGUUGAAUCAAUCCGCACUCUAUGAGUACCUAUACUCGAACGUCAUACGCCUCUAUAGCGCUUCACACUAAGUCAAGCAUCAGGCAACCAUGCCUAUGCACGCUGAUCGCACGAGCACUACUCACCCACCUGAAUUCGAGGUACCACUAGGCCUCACAUGCCCGUAUUCGGCAACUAAUCGGCCAUUCUCUCAACAGUGAUCUCACUUUCACUGUUCGAUCUACCGGAACGAUAUCUUUACUACUCGGGCUACUUGGGUAUUCUCAAGCAUCUUGGCUCAACUCUCGCAAUCUCCUAUCCAUUGCCUUGAGAGUCGGUCAACCAUCUCCACAUUUACCCCGAGUCUCAUCAUUCGGUUAUCACUAGCAACUUGCUAGUGCCAUCUAGCUCUUUACUUGCACCGGUAGGUGCUACACCUUCACCGCAUAAGCAUACUCGGGCAUUUACACUUACCCGUCCACUUGGUCCCUACUACUCUGACGUAUCAACGGUAGUAAGUGACCGCAUGAUAAAUGCAUGCAAGGUUCCUCGACCAGGGUCGCGUACUCAUGGCCACUCAGUGCCCACCGCGAACCCUCCGGUCGCCACAUUCUCAUCACUCACUCUCCAGACCGUGCUGUAGGUGACGUGCCCACAAGCUGUCUCGGAGAAGAAGAGGCCAUCGCCAACGUCAAGGCUUGGCUCACGCCCACACGAAUGCAUAUCUCAUCACGCAGCACACCCCGCCGCGCCUAGUGAGAACUCUUGCAGUCCCGUAUCUUGGAGAAGUUAACGAAGACACCUCCAAGGUUCGGGAUUGCAAUUGCACUCGAGAAUGUACACUGCCCAAAUUGGGCAAAUCUCGCGGUGGGGGACCGGUCUCUCCGACCUAAGACCGGUCUCCGAGAGCUCCACCCGCGGACUGCGCAGCUUGCGCAUGAUGCAACCGGUCUCACCUGGUGCAACCGGUCUCGAGAGACCGGUCUUUCCCUGUUGGGACCGGUCUCCGAGAGCUGGUCUUCUAGGACUUAGCCGAUUUUCCACUCUGCUCGAUGCCUACGCACACGGAGACCGGUCUCUACCUCUUGGGACCGGUCUCCGAGAGCUAAAAACCUGCAGUUUGGCAGAUUUUGAUUCCCACGCUCUCGAAGAUACCCAAAUAAUGCACUUUUGCAUUAUUUGACGCCUUCGGCCUUUCCGAAACGUACCAACCUCGCACUCUGGUCAAUUUGACCAAGGUUCGAUAUUUAUUUACCGUGUUUUCGGUACGUUACAUUCUCUCCUUCUACAAGGAGUUUCGUUCUCAUUACCCCGCACUAUGUCUGGGAUGCAACUUCUGACACGGGAGAAUUUUCGCUCGUAUUCCCUCACGGCGCGGUCUACCUGCCGCAGCUUCGAGAACCUUUCCUGAAGCUUUUUUUUCCAUCAUCAGAUGAGUAAGCGAAGAAUACUUAUUCCCGAAACUCAUUCCAAACCAUAGGAAGGAGACCAGGCAGUCGAUCCCACUCGACGCUUGUCCACCACACCUUCGCCGACUGUUUGCACGCAACGCAGGGCUAGGUGUACCUUGGCCCACUUAACAGUGCACAGAUCCCCUAAA